rnacentral:rRNA from 1 species
UACGUAGGGUGCGAGCGUUGUUCGGAAUUACUGGGCGUAAAGGGCUCGUAGGUGGCCAACUAAGUCAGACGUGAAAUCCCUCGGCUUAACCGGGGAACUGCGCCUGAAACUACUUGGCUAGAGUACUGGAGAGGGUAACGGAAUUCACGGUGUAGCAGUGAAAUGCGUAGAUAUCGUGAGGAACACCAGAGGCGAAGGCGGUUACCUGGACAGUUACUGACGCUCAGGCACGAAAGCGUGGGGAGCAAAAGGG